UCUCUCUCUCUCUCUCUCUCUCUCUCUCUCUCUCUCUCUCUCAUACACAUAAACAACACAUUUUAUUCAUUAUUUAUUCAGAUUUCACUCAAGUUUCUCUUUUCCAUUCAGUAUUUCCGCUUUGUCUCACUUAAUUCAAUUGUACGUGUAUGCCGCUACUUUCUGUUUUGUUUGUGUCUUGUAAUAUAUUUGUGGUGUAUCCUCUUAUACUUUACCUGUCUUUCUUUUAGAGCACUGAAGCUAAAUUCUCUCUCUCUCUCUCUCUCUCUCUCUCUCUCUCUCUCUCUCUCUCUUGCGAUAACAAAUAUAACAUCCCAGAAGAAAAAAGGAACCGUAACUCAGAGACAAGGAUACACUCAUAUACUGACGCAACACGAGUAAUAUUAUUUUGUGUUUCUCUUCCCUGUCAUUCCUCGUGCUAAAAAGUGUGUCCUUCCUCAUUGUGCAACGCGGCAAUAUACUAAACACUUAUUUUGAGCCAUAGUGUUAUUUUAUUUUCUUUAUCUCUUGAACGUAAAAGAGUAGAGGAGGAACGGCAGAUGGAAGACGAGAAAUAAGGAGUAUACACAUCAGAUUGUCAGGAAAGAUACGAAAUGUCGUGUUUUUAUGUUUUCUUUCAGGCAAAUUUUACUAUUGGUACAGCACUAAUGGCAUCAGUACUUCUAUAUAUGUUCCCCCCUUCACUCAUCUGUAAACCUCUUCAGUACCAUGACACGGUUUCAUAUUAAAUUAUUCUGGUUGCUAUUUGGUGAUUUUAUACAACUUCAGAAACUUAUGUUGUUGUUAGAUAUAGUGAAGACUCUGGCCAUUAAUGUUUUGACCUCCAUAGACCCUUCCUAAUAUAAAUAAAAUCGUCUAAUCAUACCUAAAAUUCAUGGUAAAAUUGUAUCCCAGUACAAAUCAUUAUGUCCUUUUUUCGCUUCACUUAUUCUUAUCGUAUAGUUUCUUAACCCCUUCAGUACUGAGACAAAUUUUUAUCUUGAGUUUUUGGGGUGUGAUUAGGCGAGUUUAUUUACAUUAGGAAGAAUCUAUAGAGGUCUGAAGAUUAACGGUCAGAGUCUUUACUAUCUUAAUCCCUCUCGUAGGUUUCAGAAUCUGCAUAAAGUCACUAAAUUGUAAGGAGAAUGAAUAUGGAAACAUGUCCUGGUAGUGAAGGGGUUAAUUCUUCCCUUCUCUAAGACUACACCCUGGAAAACUCCCCCAAACCUUACUGUCAAUAUUACCACCAUCACUUCAAAAAAUAUCCAAGACAACUGUGCGUCACUACCAACACAACCACUACUACCAACACCUUCGCAACUACUACAAACAUCACAUCUCACUUCUCACGCAACACACAUCUGGGAGACAAGAAUCCAUGAGCAACACAAGGAAGGGAAAGAAAAAAAACCACAGCCACUAACGACUCACACCUUUAUUUCGACAGCAUGUGAGUAUAAUCGUUAAUACUGGCAGAUUUUUGCAUCGAUAAUAUUCAUGAGACGGAAAAGGACGGAGAGGAAGAGGGAGGUGGUGAGAAGAAGUGAUGAUAGACAGCAUAAGAUAUGGAGGUGAGGGGAGCUAGGAUAUAGGGAAGUAAAAAUUGGUAUGGGGGAGUGAGGGAGAGGGAAAAUGAGGGAGAGGGAGAGCUAGGGAGGGUGUGAGGGAGUUUUCAGUCACCAGAGGGCAUCACAGACUUUGACGAAGAGAUGAAGCUACAGAGAGAGAGAGAGAGAGAGAGAGAGAGAGAGAGAGAGAGAGAGAGAGAGAGAGAGAGAGAGAGAGAGAGAGAGA